GAUGAACGCUGGCGGCGUGCUUAACACAUGCAAGUCGAACGGAAAGGCUCCUGCUUGCAGGGGUACUCGAGUGGCGAACGGGUGAGUAACACGUGGGUGAUCUGCCCUGCACUUCGGGAUAAGCCUGGGAAACUGGGUCUAAUACCGGAUAGGACGAUGGUUUGGAUGCCAUUGUGGAAAGUUUUUUCGGUGUGGGAUGAGCUCGCGGCCUAUCAGCUUGUUGGUGGGGUAAUGGCCUACCAAGGCGUCGACGGGUAGCCGGCCUGAGAGGGUGUACGGCCACAUUGGGACUGAGAUACGGCCCAGACUCCUACGGGAGGCAGCAGUGGGGAAUAUUGCACAAUGGGCGCAAGCCUGAUGCAGCGACGCCGCGUGGUGGAUGACGGCCUUCGGGUUGUAAACUCCUUUCGCUAGGGACGAAGCGCAAGUGACGGUACCUGGAGAAGAAGCACCGGCUAACUACGUG
rnacentral:rRNA from 1 species